rnacentral:tRNA from 2 species
GCCUUGGUGGUGGAAUUGGUAUACACAACAGACUUAAAAUCUGUCGGCUUAUGGCUAUGCGGGUUCAAGUCCCGCCCAAGGCACCA